rnacentral:rRNA from 1 species
GUCGAGCGGUAGAGAGAAGCUUGCUUCUCUUGAGAGCGGCGGACGGGUGAGUAAUGCCUAGGAAUCUGCCUGGUAGUGGGGGAUAACGCUCGGAAACGGACGCUAAUACCGCAUACGUCCUACGGGAGAAAGCAGGGGACCUUCGGGCCUUGCGCUAUCAGAUGAGCCUAGGUCGGAUUAGCUAGUUGGUGAGGUAAUGGCUCACCAAGGCGACGAUCCGUAACUGGUCUGAGAGGAUGAUCAGUCACACUGGAACUGAGACACGGUCCAGACUCCUACGGGAGGCAGCAGUGGGGAAUAUUGGACAAUGGGCGAAAGCCUGAUCCAGCCAUGCCGCGUGUGUGAAGAAGGUCUUCGGAUUGUAAAGCACUUUAAGUUGGGAGGAAGGGCAGUUACCCAAUACGUGAUUGUUUUGACGUUACCGACAGAAUAAGCACCGGCUAACUCUGUGCCAGCAGCCGCGGUAAUACAGAGGGUGCAAGCGUUAAUCGGAAUUACUGGGCGUAAAGCGCGCGUAGGUGGUUAGUUAAGUUGGAUGUGAAAUCCCCGGGCUCAACCUGGGAACUGCAUUCAAAACUGACUGACUAGAGUAUGGUAGAGGGUGGUGGAAUUUCCUGUGUAGCGGUGAAAUGCGUAGAUAUAGGAAGGAACACCAGUGGCGAAGGCGACCACCUGGACUGAUACUGACACUGAGGUGCGAAAGCGUGGGGAGCAAACAGGAUUAGAUACCCUGGUAGUCCACGCCGUAAACGAUGUCAACUAGCCGUUGGGAGCCUUGAGCUCUUAGUGGCGCAGCUAACGCAUUAAGUUGACCGCCUGGGGAGUACGGCCGCAAGGUUAAAACUCAAAUGAAUUGACG